UAGUUUUCCAUCUGAUCAGGCUUUUCACACAGACAGUAAAACAUGGAAAGCUGCUUCUGAUAGAUGUGGCAAUAAUGGAUUAGAGUUUGACGAAAAGACGUUGAAGAAUAUUGCCAUGCUGCAAGAUAAAGAAUUUUGGAUUGGAAUGGCUAUUUACCGUAUAACUACAUCAUGGAUUGAAAUUCUAGGUUGUUAUUCAGUGCCAGACAGACAGGAUACUAAGAACAGUCCUUCAAUCGUAUCAUGCCAAAAACAAUGUGAAUCAUAUCAGUUCUUUGGUUACAGUGAGUCAACAAAGAAAUGUUUUUGUCAACAUAAUCAUGAUAAUGAACGGAACUCCUACAAUAUAAGUGGUUGCAUAAAAGAAAAUGAUUCGAACUAUUACUUCAUUUAUAAA